AUUGAAUGCUGGCGGCAGGCCUAACACAUGCAAGUCGAACGAGUGGCGGACGGGUGAGUAAUGUCUGGGACACUGCCUGAUGGAGGGGUAUAACUACUGGACACGGUAGCUAAUACCGCAUACCAUCGGAUGUGCCCAGCUGGGAUUAGCUUGUUGGUGGGGUAACGGCUCACCAAGGAGACGAUCCCUAGCUGGUCUGAGAGGAUGACCAGUCAAACUGGAACUGAGACACGGUCCAGACUCCUACGGGAGGCAGCAGUGGGGAAUAUUUCACAAUGGGCGCAAGCCUGAUACAGCCAUGCCGCGUGUAUGAAGAAGGCCUUCGGGUUGUAAAGUACUUUCAGCGGGGAGGCGUUACCCGCAGAAGAAGCACCGGCUAACUCCGUGCCAGCAGCCGCGGUAAUUC
rnacentral:rRNA from 1 species